AUGUUACGGGAGAGAUGUGGCCUUCGUGAUAGUGUAUAUGUGACCGUGGAAGAGAAAGUUGCAAUGUUUUUGCUUGUAGUUGGUCAUAGUAUUAAGUUGAGGAUGUUGUGUGGCACCUACAAGCGUUCUUUAUGGACCAUCAGCACACACUUCUUUGCUGUCCUAAUCGCCCUACUCUCUCUACAUGGGGAGUUCAUAAAGCUACCUUCCUCUACCGCUCAAGCUCCCGAUGAUUACAAAUGGAAGUGGUUUGGUAAUGCACUUGGAGCAGUAGAUGGUUGUCAUAUUGACAUGCUUGUUGAUGUGGCUGACCAAGAAAGGUAUAGGAACAGAAAGCAAGCCAUUAGCACUUAGGUGUUGGACCAAUAA
rnacentral:rRNA from 1 species